UAGUCCACGCUGUAAACGAUGUUCACUAGUUGCUGCCUUCAAGCUUUGAGGGCAGUGACGCAGCUAACGCAUUAAGUGAACCGCCUGGGGAGUACGGUCGCAAGAUUAAAACUCAAAGGAAUUGACGGGGACCCGCACAAGCGGUGGAGCAUGUGGCUUAAUUCGAUGAUACGCGAGGAACCUUACCUGGGCUCGAACGCUACUUGACCGCACCUGAAAGGGUGUUUCUCUUCGGAGCGGGUAGUGAGGUGCUGCAUGGUUGUCGUCAGCUCGUGCCGUGAGGUGUUGGGUUAAGUCCCGCAACGAGCGCAACCCCUAUUCUUAGUUGCUAGCAGGUAAAGCUGAGGACUCUAGGAAGACUGCCUCCGUAAGGAGUGAGGAAGGCGGGGACGACGUCAAAUCAUCAUGGCCUUUAUGCCCAGGGCUACACACGUGCUACAAUGGCAGGUACAGAGGGCAGCGAAGCAGCGAUGUGGAGCAAAUCCCAGAAAGCCUAGU
rnacentral:rRNA from 1 species